UACGGAGGAUGCAAGCGUUAUCCGGAAUGAUUGGGCGUAAAGCGUCCGCAGGUGGCUAUGUAAGUCUGCUGUUAAAGAGUGAGGCUCAACCUCAUAAAAGCAGUGGAAACUACAUGGCUAGAGUGCGUUCGGGGCAGAGGGAAUUCCUGGUGUAGCGGUGAAAUGCGUAGAUAUCAAGUGGAACACCAGUGGCGAAGGCGAAUCCCUGGAAAAUACCUGACACUGAGGCACGAAAGCUAGGGGAGCAAACAGG
rnacentral:rRNA from 1 species